UACGUAGGGGUCUAGCGUUGUCCGGAAUUAUUGGGCGUAAAGGGCGCGUAGGCGGCCUGGCAAGUGGAAGGUGAAAUCCCUCGGCUUAACCGAGGAACUGCCUCCCAAACUGCUUGGCUUGAGACCGGGAGAGGUGAGUGGAAUUCCCAGUGUAGCGGUGAAAUGCGUAGAUAUUGGGAGGAACACCAGUGGCGAAGGCGGCUCACUGGACCGGUACUGACGCUGAUGCGCGAAAGCGUGGGGAGCAAACGGG
rnacentral:rRNA from 1 species